rnacentral:rRNA from 1 species
AGUAACCUGCCUUGGAGUGGGGAAGUAAACAACAGUGAAAAUUAGUGCUAAUACCGCAUAAUGCAUUUGGAUCGCAUGGUUCUGAAUGCCAAAGAUUUAUCGCUCUGAGAUGGACUCGCGUCUGAUUAGCUAGUUGGCGGGGCAACGGCCCACCAAGGCGACGAUCAGUAGCCGGACUGAGAGGUUGAACGGCCACAUUGGGACUGAGACACGGCCCAG